rnacentral:rRNA from 1 species
UACAGAGGGGGCAAGCGUUGUUCGGAAUUACUGGGCGUAAAGGGCGCGUAGGCGGCCUGUUAAGUCGAACGUGAAAUCCCCGGGCUCAACCCGGGAACUGCGUCCGAUACUGGCAGGCUUGAAUUCGGGAGAGGGAUGCGGAAUUCCAGGUGUAGCGGUGAAAUGCGUAGAUAUCUGGAGGAAUACCGGUGGCGAAGGCGGCAUCCUGGACCAAGAUUGACGCUGAGGCGCGAAAGCCAGGGGAGCAAACGGG